rnacentral:misc_RNA from 1 species
UGGACCUAGCACUGAAAG